UGAUAUAUCUACAAGUGAAAAAUGUUAAGAACAACACCUUGGAAGACAAGUGUAGAUUCAACCUAGGAAUCCAGAAUUUUAUCUAAAUGAAUCAUAAGUUAUUUUUUAUGAGUAGUUAAAUUUCUAUCGUUGGAAAUAAGUUGACUUUGUUGAUUCCUAUUGUGUUAUGAUUUAAUUGGUGGCAUUUAAUUUGGGAAAGGAGACUUCUUUCCCACCAUGGGAAAGUCUUUUCUAACCAUUGGAUCAUACAAAGAACACACUGUUACAAUAGUCUCUCAACACUAGAUUCUUAUCUUACUAUCUUCACUAACCAUUGAAACUGUGAUUCUUUCCCACCUUUUUUUUCUUAUCUUUGUCCUUCUUAUGUUCCUUCUCCUCUACAUCAGUUUUGUCCUUCUUUUCCUUCUUCUUCUCCUUAUCCUUCUUUUCCUUUUUCUCAUCAUCUUUAUCUUCAUCCUUAUGUUUCUUCUCUUUCUCUACUGAUUUAAUCUCCAGAUCUUUUUCUAUCUCAACCUUAUAUUCUUUUACAUCACCUGCUGAUUUAUCAUCAAUCUUGAUUGGAAUAUUGGAUUCUUCCAUCUAUACUAUCUUACUUGACACACUGAUAUCUACAUAAAGAUUUUUUUGUACAAACAAUCAAAUCUGAAUUUAAAUCCAGAUACAUCUAAUUCUAAUUUAAUUUGGUGUAUAGAUGAAUGCAGAUACUGU
rnacentral:lncRNA from 1 species